AGAACGAACGCUGGCGGCAUGCCUAACACAUGCAAGUCGAACGCUCCUGGGGCUUCGGUCUCAGGGGAGUGGCGCACGGGUGAGUAGCGCGUCGGAACCUGCCCUGUUGUGGGGGAUAACCGAGGGAAACUUCGGCUAAUACCGCAUAAGCCGGUUGUCUUGAAAGAGAUGGCCGGGAAAGAUUUAUCGCGACAGGAGGGGCCCGCGUCGGAUUAGCUAGUUGGUGGGGUAACGGCCCACCAAGGCAGUGAUCCGUAGCUGGUCUGAGAGGAUGAUCAGCCACACUGGGACUGAGACACGGCCCAGACUCCUACGGGAGGCAGCAGUGGGGAAUAUUGGACAAUGGGCGCAAGCCUGAUCCAGCAAUGCCGCGUGAGUGAUGAAGGCCUUAGGGUUGUAAAGCUCUUUCGCCCGCGACGAUGAUGACGGUAGCGGGAGAAGAGCCCGGCUAACUUCGUGCCAGCAGCCGCGGU
rnacentral:rRNA from 1 species